rnacentral:rRNA from 1 species
UAGUUCUUCGGAACUUGAGACCGGCGCACGGGUGCGUAACGCGUAUGCAAUCUACCUUAUACAGGGGAAUAGCCCCAGAGAAAUUUGGAUUAAUGCCCCAUGGUAUUAUAGAGUGGCAUCACUUUAUAUUAAAGUUCCAACGGUAUAAGAUGAGCAUGCGUCCCAUUAGUUAGUUGGUAAGGUAACGGCUUACCAAGACAAUGAUGGGUAGGGGUCCUGAGAGGGAGAUCCCCCACACUGGUACUGAGACACGGACCAGACUCCUACGGGAGGCAGCAGUGAGGAAUAUUGGUCAAUGGGCGCAAGCCUGAACCAGCCAUGCCGCGUGCAGGAAGAAGCAUCUAUGGUGUGUAAACUGCUUUUAUACAGGAAGAAACAACUCUACGUGUAGAGUCUUGACGGUACUGUAAGAAUAAGGACCGGCUAACUCCGUG